UCUGCAGCUGAGUCCCUGACAAUGAGUCUGGCCGCUUUGCUGCUGGUGCUGGCUCCAGGUGCGUUGGCCCAAUACACGGUGACCCAGGAGUGGUCCCAGGCCACUGCUCAUGAAGGAGAACCCAUCCAGCUCAACUGCUCCUACACGGGCACCGAGUCCAGCGUGCAUUGGUACCGCCAGUCCCAGAGGGGCCAGCCGCGGUUCCUGGCGCUCCUGUCCUCUAGCGGCAGAGACGCCCGAGAGAAUUUCACCCUGAGCCUGGACACCAAAACCAAAAGCAGCUUCUUGUUCCUGAACAGCAGCUGCCUGGAAGACUCUGCUGUGUAUCUGUGCGCGCUGGAGCACAGUGCCAGGUGA